rnacentral:rRNA from 1 species
GGCCUAACACAUGCAAGUCGAGCGGUAGAGAGAAGCUUGCUUCUCUUGAGAGCGGCGGACGGGUGAGUAAUGCCUAGGAAUCUGCCUGGUAGUGGGGGAUAACGUUCGGAAACGGACGCUAAUACCGCAUACGUCCUACGGGAGAAAGCAGGGGACCUUCGGGCCUUGCGCUAUCAGAUGAGCCUAGGUCGGAUUAGCUAGUUGGUGGGGUAAUGGCUCACCAAGGCGACGAUCCGUAACUGGUCUGAGAGGAUGAUCAGUCACACUGGAACUGAGACACGGGUCCAGACUCCUACGGGAGGCAGCAGUGGGAAUAUUGGACAAUGGGCGAAAGCCUGAUCCAGCCAUGCCGCGUGUGUGAAGAAGGUCUUCGGAUUGUAAAGCACUUUAAGUUGGGAGGAAGGGCAUUUACCUAAUACGUAAGUGUUUUGACGUUACCGACAGAAUAAGCACCGGCUAACUCUGUGCCAGCAGCCGCGGUAAU